UGGGGAAUAUUGCACAAUGGGCGCAAGCCUGAUGCAGCCAUGCCGCGUGUGUGAAGAAGGCCUUCGGGUUGUAAAGCACUUUCAGCGAGGAGGAAGGUGGUGAACUUAAUACGUUCAUCAAUUGACGUUACUCGCAGAAGAAGCACCGGCUAACUCCGUGCCAGCAGCCGCGGUAAUACGGAGGGUGCAAGCGUUAAUCGGAAUUACUGGGCGUAAAGCGCACGCAGGCGGUUUGUUAAGUCAGAUGUGAAAUCCCCGGGCUCAACCUGGGAACUGCAUUUGAGACUGGCAAGCUAGAGUCUCGUAGAGGGGGGUAGAAUUCCAGGUGUAGCGGUGAAAUGCGUAGAGAUCUGGAGGAAUACCGGUGGCGAAGGCGGCCCCCUGGACGAAGACUGACGCUCAGGUGCGAAAGCGUGGGGCAGCAAACAGGAUUAGAUACCCUGGUAGUCCACGCUGUAAAACGAUGUCGAUUUUGGAGGUUGUGCCCUUGAGGCGUGGCUUCCGGAGCUAACGCGUUAAAUCGACCGCCUGGGGAGUACGGCCGCAAGGUUAAAACUCAAAUGAAUUGACGGGGUCAUAGCUG
rnacentral:rRNA from 1 species